ensembl:lncRNA
CUACGUUAAAACCACACAACUGCUAGCUUUACAGAGCUGCCCCUCGCUGGUACUGCGUUACUUCAUAGUCAGCCGUUCUCAGACAGUUCUUCCUCCCCCACAGGAGCCUGGAAAUAGGAUGCGCUUCCCCAGCCGUUUCGUCCCGUUCUGCCCGGCAAGCAGUUUGCGUCCUUCCAGGGGCUCCGAAGAGAGAAAAGAGUAAAUGGGAUCUCCCGGUUUGCCUCUGAUGGCCUGCUUUAAUGAUGUCCAGAUAUUGAGAAUGAUGAGAAGACAUGGCAUUAUCUAGUAGGAUGAGGAAGCUAUCCAAACAGACAUGGAGUAAUCCAGCACAAUGCAGCUGUAAUGGAAGGACUUCCUGUCAUUUUGGAGCAGUAGCAGCCUUACCUGGGGUCUGUCUCCCAUGGAUGCAUGCCAGACUGUCCUUUGGGAUAUAGUCCAACGAGUAGGAAAAGAAAAUAUGUUUAAACUUGGCAUAAUUGCAAUGAAUAUAAAGGGAGAAACUGGAGCUGCAUCACUGAUGCCAUUUCCGUACUGUGUUUGCUCUCAGGAAAGGGAAUCCAUUGAUGAAUUAGUGCAACAAGCCCACCGGCCGUGAAAGAAUACUCCUUACAAAAAAAUCCACGGGUGACUUCUAGGCCAGAUAGGUCAUUCCUCACCCUCAGUGGUAAGCAGUGCAAGCAGUCUUUGAGGUCUGGGGAAAACUGCUUGGUAUACCUGGAAAUCAGUCUAAUUAUUUAGGCAUCUAAAUACAGAAUUUUGAAUUUAACACUAUGCAUCUUAUAAACAAACAAAAAAGAAAAAUUAAUUUCAGCUGAGGCUAUUUUAGUCUUGAAUCAUGCUUUUCUACCACAUUUCAGUAAUGUGUGCCAUGCAUCUCAUUACCUUUGCUUUUCUGGGCUUUUUCUUUUAAAUUUUUCAGUCAUCGUACAGUGUUAUUUAGAUCUAACUCAGCACCCUUUCAUCAUGCUGAGUGGUUCCAGUGAAUAAUGGUUGUAGGACUGGCCUGCUAGUAAUUCAGGGUUGCUGUCUUUUAUCUUGAAAAUGAAAUACCUCUACUGGACUUAAGAGUUGCUUGCCUUAUGUAUGUCGUGUGUGUAAAUAAUAUGGACUAGAUGUACCAGGUCAGUGCAGACACAGUGCAAUCCUUUUUAAAAAAAGUUCAGCCAGUCAUUAAUAYUUUGUAUUGUAGGAGACAAUUUCCACAUUUAACUGAAUCUUGAGUUUAAUAUCUUAAUUUCAGCUAUGUACAAUCCAGAUAAAGGAUUCAUGUCUGUACUCAUUUUGUACACACUCUUGAUACAGCGUUUGAAAGUCAGAUGAGCCUUCAAAAUUUGCAAGUGAUGAUCUGUAUAARGUAAAAUGUAUUGCCUAUUUGUUGAUGCCUGUAAGCAUACCUAUUUCACUAAAGCAGAAGCUACAUUCAUUAUCYUGUAUGGACUAAAUGCUGAUGUGCUUCCUUCUCACAUUGUUUUUGCUACUGUGGUAGAGUUUUACCACUUGAAUUCACUGACUAAUGUUCUUGACUUUUAGGCAGGGUGAAWCCUUUAUUAAUUUUAAUUUUUCAAAAUCUGUUACCCACUAAUCACAUAAGUAUACCAACAGYUGUAAAUUCUUUGCAAUAUUUCACAGUUCAAAAACAUUUUUAUUUUCUUCUGCAAAGAUUUUAUUAAACUGACCUGUACCAUCCUCCUCACAGGACCGUAGYGGUGUACCCUAGUAUCCAUGAUACAAAUUAGGAGAUUUGGUCUGAAAUAAUAGAGAUAAUAUGUAAUCCUGAACUGACAUCUGAAGGACUGGUUACAGGUCUGUAAGUCAGCCUCAGUUAGUAUAGUCAGUCCUGUGUUAGGGUCAAGAGUAAGACAUUUUACUCUUUUAACAAAUUAUCCAAAGCCUGAGCUUUUUUUUCAGCUUUUGUUACAUUUCAGGAUUCAUGCUGAAUAACAAUAAUAAAAGAUGAAUCCUAUCUGUUUUUCUCUUGAUU